UACGUAGGGAGCAAGCGUUGUCCGGAAUCAUUGGGCGUAAAGAGCUCGUAGGCGGUCUGUCGCGUCGGCUGUGAAAACCCGAGGCUCAACCUCGGGCCUGCAGUGGGUACGGGCAGACUAGAGUGCGGUAGGGGAGAUUGGAAUUCCUGGUGUAGCGGUGGAAUGCGCAGAUAUCAGGAGGAACACCGAUGGCGAAGGCAGAUCUCUGGGCCGUAACUGACGCUGAGGAGCGAAAGCAUGGGGAGCGAACAGG
rnacentral:rRNA from 1 species